CCUACGGGCGGCAGCAGUGGGGAAUAUUGCACAAUGGGCGCAAGCCUGAUGCAGCCAUGCCGCGUGUGUGAAGAAGGCCUUCGGGUUGUAAAGCACUUUCAGCGGGGAGGAAGGCGUUAAGGUUAAUAACCUUGUCGAUUGACGUUACCCGCAGAAGAAGCACCGGCUAACUCCGUGCCAGCAGCCGCGGUGAUACGGAGGGUGCAAGCGUUAAUCGGAAUUACUGGGCGUAAAGCGCACGCAGGCGGUCUGUCAAGUCGGAUGUGAAAUCCCCGGGCUCAACCUGGGAACUGCAUUCGAAACUGGCAGGCUAGAGUCUUGUAGAGGGGGGUAGAAUUCCAGGUGUAGCGGUGAAAUGCGUAGAGAUCUGGAGGAAUACCGGUGGCGAAGGCGGCCCCCUGGACAAAGACUGACGCUCAGGUGCGAAAGCGUGGGGAGCAAACAGGAUUAGAUACCCGUGUAGUC
rnacentral:rRNA from 1 species